UUGCAUGAUUUGAUCUUUUUCAUUUUUAUAGGUUUCUAAAUAAUUUUUCUUAAAGUAAAAAUGCUUUCUACGCCAUUCUUUAUUGAUUUUAAACUCUUUUUCUAGUACAAAAAUUUCAAAAUUUUCUUCACCAACUGUUGUUAUGUUUGGAUUAUUGGUUAUUGACGAAUAUGUUGGAGAUAUGGUUGGUGAGUUGGUUGUACUAGGUUCUUGCCUGUUGUAUAUUGGUUAGGGUAUAUUUGAGGAAUUAUCUAUUCCUUGUAAAUUUGUCCUAAUGGUAGAUGGUACUGAAGAAAUGAAAGCUCCAGCUGUCCUAAAAUUCGUUCUAUGGGUUG
rnacentral:lncRNA from 1 species